rnacentral:other from 1 species
UUUUACCGGCGAUAUUCGUGAUGGUAAUUUGUUCUUACUCACUUAAAUUAAGGAGUGCUGACUCGAUGUUGCUCACAUGCCGGGCUUGUUCCCGGACUUGAAAGACAUAUGAUAGGCGUUCCACCUUGUUUUCGAGGUAUAAGACAAAAAUCACACGGUAUCGCCAGGUAUAUU